rnacentral:rRNA from 1 species
GACGAACGCUGGCGGCGUGCUUAACACAUGCAAGUCGAACGAAGUGGCGGACGGGUGAGUAACGCCUAAUCAACCUGCCCUUCAGAGGGGGACCACAGUUGGAAACGACUGCAAAUACCGAAUACUGAAGGAGAGGAUUGCGUCUGAUUUGCUAGUUGGGUGGGUAACGGCCCACCAAGGGGAUGAUCAGUAGCCGGUCUGAGAGGAAGAACGGGCACAUAGGGACUGGGAAACGGCCCCGACUCCUACGGGAGGCAGCAGUGGGGAAGCAUCCGAAAUGGACGAAAGUCUGACGGAGCAACGCCGCGGGAGUGAUGACGGCCUUCGGGUUGUAAAGCUCUGUUAAUCGGGACGCGGUACCGGAAUAGAAAGCCACGGCUAACUACGUGCCAGCCGCCGCGGUAAUUC